ensembl:lncRNA
ACACACACACACACACACACACACAGACACACACAGACACACUCCUCUGUCAAACACUACUUGUUGUGUCACACAUUUAGUAGCCUGAUACACACAGACCCCGGAUAGACCCCUGCCACUUCAUUUAGUAGCCUGAUUCACACACACACAAUGUGGCCAUUCUGAGCGGGAGGCAUGACUGGGUGCUAACACAGCUGUUGCACCCACAGGGACAGCACAGGAAGCAGAAGAGAGAGAUGGUGCGCGCGUGUGUGUGUGAGUGAGUGUGUGUGUGUGUGUGUGUGUGUGUGUGUGUGUGAGCAUGUAUGAGAAAACGAGACAGACAGAGAUGGUGUGUGUUUGAACGUGUGUGAGAGGGACUGAUAUUGUAGGUGUGUGAGAGAGAGAGAUGUGCCUGUAUGUGAAAGCCAGAGAGAUGUGUGUGUGUGUGGGAGAGAGAGAUGUGCCUGUAUGUGAAAGCCAGAGAGAUGUGUGUGUGUGUGAGAGAGAGAGAGAGUGAUGUGCAUUUAGGUGAAAGCCAGAGAGAUGUGUGUGUGUGUGUGUGUGUGUGUGUGUGUGUGUGUGUGAGAGUGAGUGAGUGAGUGAGUGAGUGAGUGAGUGAGUGAGUGAGUGAG